rnacentral:rRNA from 1 species
GGACUCACGUGUCCACACGCCGGCCACGGACGCCUCCGGCCCCGGUCAAGGCCCGUGGAUGGACGAGAUCUACUACUACUUCGUCACCAUGAAACUCCCCGACCACGUUGCGGAUCGCCCUGGCCUGCUGCCUGAACAUGUGCGGGGCCGUCCACUGUUCCGACAUCGCCAUCCUCGGGAUCCACCGGACGGUUCCCAAGCCCGACAACAGACGUGUUCCGAACGUCUGCGAAAUUCCCUCCACGGAUGGCUUCCUGCCCCACGGGCGCCAUCAAGGGGGACAUGAGGAA